ACAUGCCUACAACAUAGCGUUAAUGCAUCAGAUCUCAUUAGAACUUCGCAUUUAAGCGUGCUCAGGAUGGAGUAGUAUUGGGAUGGGUGACUGCCUAGGAAGUCCUAGUGUUUUACAUGCC
rnacentral:rRNA from 1 species